UGCAGGGGGGGCAAGCGUUGUUCGGAAUUACUGGGCGUAAAGGGCGCGUAGGCGGCCUGCUAAGUCGAACGUGAAAUCCCUGGGCUCAACCCAGGAACUGCGUCCGAUACUGGUUGGCUUGAAUUCGGGAGAGGGAUGCAGAAUUCCAGGUGUAGCGGUGAAAUGCGUAGAUAUCUGGAGGAAUACCGGUGGCGAAGGCGGCAUCCUGGACCGACAUUGACGCUGAGGAGCGAAAGCUAGGGGAGCAAACGGG
rnacentral:rRNA from 1 species